rnacentral:rRNA from 1 species
AUUGAACGCUAGCGGGAUGCUUUACACAUGCAAGUCGAACGGCAGCGCGGACUUCGGUCUGGCGGCGAGUGGCGAACGGGUGAGUAAUGUAUCGGAACGUGCCCAGUAGCGGGGGAUAACUACGCGAAAGCGUAGCUAAUACCGCAUACGCCCUACGGGGGAAAGCAGGGGAUCGUAAGACCUUGCACUAUUGGAUGGGCCGAUAUCGGAUUAGCUAGUUGGUGAGGUAACGGCUCACCAAGGCAACGAUCCGUAGCUGGUUUGAGAGGAUGAGCAGCCACACUGGAACUGAGACACGGCCCAGACUACUACGGGAGGCAGCAGUGGGGAAUUUUGGACAAUGGGGGCAACCCUGAUCCAGCCAUCCCGCGUGUGGGAAGAAGGCCUUCGGGUUGUAAAGCACUUUUGGCAGGAAAGAAACGUAGCGGGCUAAUACCCCGUGGAACUGACGGUACCUGAAGAAUAAGCACCGGCUAACUACGUG